rnacentral:rRNA from 1 species
UUCGCCUUCAUGAAGCUGGAAUUGCUAGUAAUGGCAGGUCAGCAUACUGCCGUGAAUACGUUCCCGGGCCUUGUACACACCGCCCGUCACACCAUGAGAGUUGGAAAUACCCGAAGCCUGUGAGCUAACUUAAAGAGGCAGCAGUCGAAGGUAGAGCCAAUGAUUGGGGUGAAGUCGUAACAAGGUAGC